GCAGCAUGAACUUAGCUUGCUAAGUUUGAUGGCGACCGGCGCACGGGUGCGUAACGCGUAUGCAACUUGCCUUACAGAGGGGGAUAACCCGUUGAAAGGCGGACUAAUACCGCAUACACUUGCUUGGUUGCAUGAUCGGGCAAGGAAAUAUUUAUAGCUGUAAGAUAGGCAUGCGUCCCAUUAGCUAGUUGGUGAGGUAACGGCUCACCAAGGCAACGAUGGGUAGGGGAACUG
rnacentral:rRNA from 1 species